GUGAGGAGCUUGUGUGCACCCCAACCCAAAAGAUCCUGCUUCUCCUCACGGUUACCACCAUACCGCAACUCCACCCAAAGCCAUAAAAACCAGUGCAGCAACAAUGAGAGCUAAAGUUUCCAGGCUCUGAAUUUUCAGCAUGUUGGCGCCCGCAUCAGCCCAGGUGCCUCACACCAUACGACCUGUUGCAAACUGCUUUGGGCUUCAUCGACGAUCUGACCGAUAUCACAGAUGGCGAGGGACUGGAAAGAAGAUGAUUCUUUCCACUCGUGGUGUGCUCGAAUCCAGCAAUGGUGCACCAUCCGGUGGCCUUGUGAAAAAAAGAAAGAUUGUGGAGCACAUUAUUCUGCUUCGAGCCAAGCCAAACAUCUCAGAUGCUGAAGAGAAAGAUAUGCUGGAUUAUCUAUAUACAUCACAAUACCAGAUGAGAGGGAUACUCACAAUCUCGUUGGGCCGCAUAGAGGAGCCAAAUAGCGAGAACUUUACGCACGCUGUCUUCAUGCGUUUUCAGCAGAAAGAAGACAUUGUGAAGUUCUACAGUAGUGCCUACUAUUCCAAAAUUCUUGAUGACCACGUAAAACCUGUUUCCUAUAUUUCGAGUCUGAGGUGGAAGAUGACAUUAUUCCCCUCUUUCGUAGGGGAGAGGUAUCUCAAGCUGCCUUAUUCUGGCGUAAAUUGGUACCAUUCUUUACUAUGUAAAAUACCCAUUGCAUUUGAACAGAAAAGCUGGUCCUUGUGUCAGGAUUUUAACUACGGUGUUGAGUUUAUGUUGCUCAUGUCUUUCGUGGAAACUGCAUCUCGAGAGGCAAUGGAGGAUGCAUCAUCUUCUCUGCAGAGGUUGAUCAUCCAAUGCAGUUCAUUUAUUGUUCAGGCAACCUGUGGUAAGACUGCAUGGUAUCCUUAUGGUUCCUCUGUCGAAUUGCCAACCUUGGAUCACCUGUACAUUUUGCUGAAGCUGAAGGCCACUGUUUGAAUCCGGAAAACGGAUAUAAUCACGCUGCAGUGAUCCGGUUUCCAUCAUUUGAUGACUUCAAGUUGUUCCGGGAGAGCAUGGAGUACAAGGAUGUAAGGAUUCUCUACUUGCAUCUGUUCAUAUUUGAGUUUCCUGUUUGGAUUCGCAUACCUUAAACAAAUUGUAUUACACAUAAGAUGUGGGCAUCAAAGUUCCAUCCUAUUGUGGAGAAAUCCCUCCAGCUACAUUUCACCGUCGACCCCGUGGGGAACCAGCUGAUGUAGACCAGCCAUGCCUCUGCACUCUUCAGAUGAACACAGACCUUGCUGGGAGUCGAACAACAUCUCUGCUCAUAUGGGAAUGUUUUACUGUCGUGUGCACUCUGUCCCAAAGUGUGCCUGCAAAUUGUGCUCCACAACAACUUCUUGUAGUAUACUCAAUAUAAAGAAGAGAAUGAACACUGUAUUUAUGAAUGGACCUCGACAGUCAACUGCUAGCUUGAUCGAAGUUAUCGAUAUCAA